rnacentral:rRNA from 1 species
GACGAACGCUGGCGGCGUGCCUAAUACAUGCAAGUCGAACGCAGUGGGGACGGGUGAGUAACACGUGGGUAACCUCCCAUCAGACGGGGGAAAACUUGGAAACAGGUGCUAAACCGAUACUGAUGGAUGGACCCGCGGGGCAUUAGCUAGUUGGUGGGGUAACGGCUCACCAAGGCCACGAUGCAUAGCCGACCUGAGAGGGUGACCGGCCACACUGGAACUGAGACACGGCCCAGACUCCUACGGGAGGCAGCAGUAGGGAAUAUUCGGCAAUGGACGAAAGUCUGACCGAGCAACGCCGCGUGAGUGAAGAAGGUCUUCGGAUCGUAAAACUCUGUUGGUGGAGAAGCGGUAUCUACCCAGAAAGCAACGGCUAACUACGUGCCAGCAGCCGCGGUAAUAC